rnacentral:lncRNA from 15 species
UUUUUUCUGAACCAAUGCCUGCCAGCUCCUCAGUGCUGGUACAGUGAGAGGCACAAAGAAGAAUUCCUUCUGUCAGCAUUCACACACACACACACACACACACACACACACACACACACACACACACACACACACACACACACACACACACACACACAGUUCCGUGUAUUGUCGUUACUCUCUUGUAUUGUCAGCUUUGUUCCACUGCUCUCAUUCAAUGUGUGUCACAUCACUCCUCCCUGCUUCUCAACCGUUCUUUUCUUCCUUUCCUCUGUCCUCGCUCCUACAUUUUCUCCUACAGAGGUCCACCUCCUCCUUCUUGCCCCAAUUAUUUCCCACUCCUUCCUUCCUUUCCUUUCCCUUUCACUGACUUUUUUAUUCUCUAUAUAUCCUCUCCUCAUCGCUGCCUCCAUCAUUAUUUUCCUCUACUCCUUCUCUGCUCCUCAUUCUCACCCUCAUUCCUACUUUCCUUUCUUUUCUGGCCCAUCCCUCCUUUCCUCCUCCCCUAACUUCACCUCCAUUCUCUUUCACUCUCUCCUUUAUUUUUUUCUCACUCACCCUCUCUGCUCGUUCUCCUCUCUCUCCACUCUUGCUCAGAGAAAGAGAGAUACAGAGUGUGAGGGUGGUAAUGAACUUUCAGUGUGUGUGAAAGCAGGGAUGUUAACCCAUUCUCCAACUCUGUGGAGAAAUAUUUUUCAGUUUGCCUAAAUUUUAAUUGGCUCCUCUCCGUGUGGCAUCCAGAUUCACUUUUUUCCCUUAUCUUCUCAUUUACACACGAACAUUUAUAAAGGAACUACUGAGGUCCACAGAAACUAGUUGUGUGUGUGUUCUGAUUAACAUGGGGUAGCUCACCCCGUCCUCCCACUGUGGGAGGUUAGAGGCUUCAUAGAAUCAAUGGGAGUGUUGAAUAGGAGGAGGGUCACAUUUCCAUCCAGCUGCUCUUAGAACAACUGUGUGAACUUGAAGUGCAACUGACUCAUGUACACUACAGCAGCUAACUUAAUUUGCCACACUGCAUAUGAUUUACCCAACAGAGAGCUGUUGUUUCCUUUGUAA